GUCCAGAUAAUGAUCGGAAUGACGGUUUUCUUAUUUGGUAUUGUACGCACCACUGAUGUCUACAAUUUCCCUGCUGUUUCUUUGUUUAGUGGAAUAACCUACUGGGGAUCCCUUGUUAACAUCAGUGCUGGAUCUCUGUCUGUUGCUGUGCAGAAUAAACUUCAUCCAUGUGUGAGGUAUGAUUUGGGGGUCCUUGGAAUAUUGCUGGUGUUCUCCAUACUUCAGUUCAUCAUCUCCAUCUGUAUCUCAGUAUUUGCCUGCAAAGCCACCAGCAACAACGUCUUCACAGGGGUCGAUGUGGCACUAAUUGGGGAUACUGAGUCACAGUGAGAAGAUCCUACCAUCCAAAGGUUGCAAGGAAUUAACCCUCUGGGUUCUGAGAGUAUUUUGGGGCCCUGGAGAAGUUUUGACAUGUCCUGACAUUUGUGCAUUUUUCAGGUGCUUAUAAACAUAUUAAUGGCAAAAGUGUCAUUAGACUAUAUUCAGCACAAAUUUGGCUAUCAUAAUAUGUGAGCAACAUGUAUGUAAAUAAUGUUUAUGCAUGGUUAUUGAAAAAAAAAAAAAAGUCACUGAAAUAAGGCCACAAAAUACACACUGAAUAUGUAUCCACAA